rnacentral:rRNA from 1 species
GACGAACGCUGGCGGCCUGCUUAACACAUGCAAGUCGAACGGAAAGGCCCUGCUUUUGUGGGGUGCUCGAGUGGCGAACGGGUGAGUAACACGUGAGUAACCUGCCCUUGACUUUGGGAUAACUUCAGGAAACUGGGGCUAAUACCGGAUAGGAGCUCCUGCUGCAUGGUGGGGGUUGGAAAGUUUCGGCGGUUGGGGAUGGACUCGCGGCUUAUCAGCUUGUUGGUGGGGUAGUGGCUUACCAAGGCUUUGACGGGUAGCCGGCCUGAGAGGGUGACCGGCCACAUUGGGACUGAGAUACGGCCCAGACUCCUACGGGAGGCAGCAGUGGGGAAUAUUGCACAAUGGGCGGAAGCCUGAUGCAGCAACGCCGCGUGCGGGAUGACGGCCUUCGGGUUGUAAACCGCUUUCGCCUGUGACGAAACGUGAGUGACGGUAAUGGGUAAAGAAGCACCGGCUAACUACGUG